rnacentral:rRNA from 1 species
AGAGCGAACGCUGGCGGCAGGCCUAACACAUGCAAGUCGAGCGCGUGUAGCAAUACACGAGCGGCAGACGGGAGAGUAACACGUGGGAACGCGCCCUUCGGUUCGGAAUAACUCAGGGAAACUUGAGCUAAUACCGGAUACGCCCUUACGGGGAAAGAUUUAUUGCCGAAGGAACGGCCCGCGUCCGAUUAGCUAGUUGGUGAGGUAACGGCUCACCAAGGCGACGAUCGGUAGCUGGUCUGAGAGGAUGACCAGCCUCACUGGGACUGAGACACGGCCCAAACUCCUACGGGAGGCAGCAGUGGGGAAUAUUGGACAAUGGGCGCAAGCCUGAUCCAGCCAUGCCGCGUGGAUGAUGAAGGCCUUAGGGUUGUAAGUCUUUAACGGGGAGAUAAUGACGUACCGUAGAAUAAGCCCGGCUAACUUCGUGCCAGCAGCCGC